rnacentral:lncRNA from 1 species
UGCCCUCUGGGGGCAAUGAAUUAUAAUCUAGACGGUCACACAGCAAAGAUGGUGCCACGCACAAGCGUGGGAAGUACAGAAAUUCUAAGUGAAGAACUGGCCGUAACGACUGGCUAAUGAAUACCCGAAGCAAAUGUGGAUUUUGAAACUAGCCUGGGGUGAGAAUAUCUUGUUUCAAAGGCCUGAAAUCAGAGGCAUUUAGGAGAUGGGCCUGGGCUUGUGCUUCCAUGCCCAGGAAAAUACCUUACGGGCCAGCCAGCAACGUGUCUUCUCCCAAGCGAGCAGAGCAUUCUGCUGGUGGUGGGAGGCAGGGAUGCCCUAGAUGCCUGGACCCGGGUCCCCAUCUGCAGGAGGUGCCAGCAGGCUGGUCCCUGGGAAACAGAGGAAUGCAAAACUUUCAUCUGAAGUUCACAGCCUGGGUUGGGCUGCUGAGGCUGCUGACAUGCAUUCCCAGCUAAAAGCAUCCUAAGUGAUACAUGGAAGAGGAGGUUUGGGGGAAAGUUAGUUUGUCUUUGCAUAUAUUGAAUUUGAGAUGACUGGAGACCACCUGGAAGUUUCCCCAGGAUAGGUGAGUCUGGGCCCACCUUUGUUAAAACACGUGUAAUUAUUCUCCACUACACUGGCAUACCCCAUGGACAGUGAGUUGCACUUGAAGUGGUUCCAUGGUCUCUGCAGGGACCCAGGUUCUUUCUUCCUGCUCCACCAUCUCGAGGUUGUUUGCUUUGUCUGCAGGUGUGUCCUGCCCCACUUGAAGGACGGCUACAGCAGCAUCAGGCGUCCCAUCAGGCAAUAACGUCCAAAGCCAAAUUCCAGCACAUUUUUCCUUGUGUUUCCUCUUGAGGGCAAAGAAAGUUUCGAAGGCCACACUCAAGAGGUGCUUAACAUCUGAAUGACCCUAUUCAGGAAUCUACAUCCAGAGACAACCACAGCAAAUGUUUCAAACAAGGCUAGCUAAAUCUCAAUUAGAGGAUUUAUUUAUUAGCCUAAGAGAUUAAUUCAUUUUUCACUUGCAAAACAAAUGGUAUUCAAGGUCCUUGACCGACCAGCAUUUUUGCCUCUGUAAAACAAAGUAUGAGAAUGUGGCCAGUUCAGAAGUCCAACUCAUUUAUCAUAUCCUGGAUCUUAAACUCCAGGUGGCCCUGGACCCACAUCUAAAUGGGGUCUGCACUCCAUUUUCGUGGCUUGCUGGUUUUGCCAUUACAAUAUUGUUGCCU